UACAGAGGGGGCAAGCGUUGUUCGGAAUUACUGGGCGUAAAGGGCGCGUAGGUGGCCUUCUAAGUUGAACGUGAAAUCCCUGGGCUCAACCCAGGAACUGCGUCCAAGACUGGGAGGCUUGAAUCCGGGAGAGGGAUGCGGAAUUCCACGUGUAGCGGUGAAAUGCGUAGAGAUGUGGAGGAACACCAGUGGCGAAGGCGGCUCUCUGGUCAGUAACUGACGCUGAGAAGCGAAAGCGUGGGUAGCGAACAGG
rnacentral:rRNA from 1 species